CUAAAGUUAGGAUUUCAUUGAUAUGGUUAGCAAUAUUAUAGAAGUGAUGAUUCCAAGUUUAAAAAUUAGAUGAGUCCCUAUUGUUUUCAAACCUCUCUUAGAGAGAUUGCUCUUGUAUGUUUUGCUUGAGGACAAGCAAAAGAGUAAGUCUAGGGGAGUUGAUAGGCUAUAGAUUUUACCCAUUUUUAGCUAUGGUUUAUAUACGUUUUUAGAGUCUUUUAUAUGCAUUUGGACCCUUUUUAGAGUAAUUACAGGUUCGUGUACUUACUAGAGGAAAAUGAGGUUUUUGGAGCAAUUUGGAGACUAUUUGAGAGCAUUGCUGGAAACAGAGGAAGAGUCGAUUUUUGUAUCAGAACAUCGACCGACGAUUACCAAGCAUAAUCGAUUGAUGGAAAGCUCCUAGCAUCGAUCGA
rnacentral:lncRNA from 1 species